rnacentral:lncRNA from 1 species
AGUAGGGGGUAAGGUAGCUGAUCCGGCAGGAAGAGGAGAGCAGAGGCGCUCCUCUGAAUUCAUUUGGUUUUUGUUUACGCAAGAUUACCGUAGACGGGUGGAUCAGAAGAUCGAGCAGGUGCCUCAGGAAUUUUUUGAGUCAGGACGGGUAGUGGUGGUUCUUGUGUUGUUCGGAAGCCCCGGCACACAUGAUUCUAGUUGUACUAUAGAUGUACUCGUUGGAUCAGCAUUAAAUCCAUACACUGCACAAGUUGAAUAUUGUGAUUUGAGUAUCGUGAACGGUUGCGUGAGCUUACAGCCUUCUGAGCCCUUGAUGUGAACGCCGGUAGUUGUUCUCAGUUCGCUGGAGGAGGGCCUCGGAUCUUCUUCGAUCGGUCUCUCGGAUUAUUGAACGUUGGGUUGAAAUUUCUUAGGUAGGAGCCACUUGAUGUUAGCUUCCUGACAAGCUUAGGUUCAUCGUAAUCGGAGCCAAGACAAAAUUUUGGCAGAGAUUGAAUUAACGAGUGGUUUACUGGCUGGGCAUUUUGGAUCAACGGCUGGAAUGCCAUGAAUUUUUGAGCUGAUGAAGCCGGUUAAACUCUGGUUCCAACAAGCUAAAGGUCAUCGAGAUCGUAGUACUGAGGAACUCAAGCGACUGCUGGGGGAAGCGAGGUUCCCAAGCUUGGGCUGUCGUAUCCUGUUUGACGAGGUGGAUUAUUAGUUAAGUGGCUGAAUUUGACAAAAAAGAAGAGAAAGCAGUAAAUUUUUAAGGCAAAGCAUGAUAAGCCGCAAAAGAUUGAGCUCAAGUACAACAAGUGUUGAACACUUGCUGGUAACAUUACAAAUAGUAUAUACAUCAACAAGGUGCAUGUGGAAUACGAAUCCCAAUAAUUAAAUUGUUGUAGAAACAAAUUCCCACCGUCCACCACCGUCCAGUGCCUUUCAUUCACUGAUGCACUAAUCAAGGAACCACAACGCAAUUCGAAAAGAACACAAAACUUUAAAAUUUAAUAUAACCGGAAAGAGAGGGAGGAGAGACGGCACGAGAGAGAGAGAGAAAGAAGAAUCAUCAAUGCCCCACUAAAAGUUCAUAGACAACUAUGACUUCAAAUUGAGAGAGGUCAGAUUGUUGCGGCCAAGACGAGCCUCUCGUAUGUUGCAUGAGAAAGAGACAUUCAAUGUAGUGAGAUGAAGACGUGGGAUAUCCAACGCAAUUCAAGGUCUGAAGUAACCGAGCUAGUCCAGUCAUCGGUGCAAAAGUCGGCGGAUACGAGCUGACAUUUUCAGAGACCCAUUAUUCCUCAUCUGUAACAUGUUCAUCUUGUGGCUCAAAAGGCCCUUUUAGUCUUUAGAAAGAGGGUUGGCACUUACAUCGUUAGCUCCUGCUUGCUGGUCUUGGGAAGUUACAACUCGUGUUCUCCUUUUUGUGAGGUGGAACCUCGUUCAGCAUUUCAGGAAGAACAUUGUCUUGACGAGGUUCACGGUCCAUUAGAUUACUCUGAUCUACGAUAGAAUCAGAGCAG